rnacentral:rRNA from 1 species
CGUGCAGGCGGUCGACGAAGUUGGAUGUCAAAGCGCCCGGCUCAACUGGGCGAGGUCGUUCAAAACUGGUUGACUGGAGACUGGUAGGGGAAGGUGGAAUUCCGGGUGUAGUAGUGAAAUGCGUAGAUAUCCGGAGGAACACCAGUGGCGAAGGCGGCCUUCUAGACCAGAUCUGACGCUCAGACGCGACAGCUAGGGGAGCAAACG